rnacentral:lncRNA from 1 species
AUCUUUAUGAACAUUUUAUUAGGGCAAAACAAUAUAUAUUUGCAUGGGAUGAUUCUUAAGUCAUCUCAAAUAGUUCCCCUUUAGAUCUUAACAUGCACUCUCAAAAUUGAUACACCACCCUAACUCAUUAUUUAUAACUUCACAGUCAUCCAAUAAAAAAUAAAAAUAAAAAAUCAUCAUCUGGCAAAAAGGCAGGGUAUGGAAGAGUGACAUUUUAACACAUUACUAAAAUUUAAAAAAAUUUUAUUUACACUUCCCCUUCUUUUCCUUUCCCAGACUAUAUGAACAUUACAGCAAAGGAAAGGGGUCAUCACAGCACACCUUGUGAAUUCCAGUUUACAAGUAACUUGGUCAGUGGAAAAACAUGGACCAACGAAUAAGAUCUCGGCCUCCCAUCAGCAUUUCCUCUUCUCUUUCCUCCUUCCCUUACUGUUAGCUGCCUUUGUCAGAAAGGGAUCAUCAAGAUGGUGGGGGGGGGGGCCUGUUGGCUGAACUGACAGGGUGAUUCCCAGUGUCCUGUAAAGAGCCAGCAAGGAAGCUCUUAGGAUUCUAACCAAAGUAACAACACUACGAAUGAAGACAAGCCGCCACUCCACCCUGGUCAGUGGUAUGGCCCCUACUUCCCAGGAAGUUUUAGGCCAAGCAACCAAGUUUUGCAUAAGAAACAUGGAAACUGAGUUGGAAAAAGCAAACUUUGAGCUGGCUCAAGUCUCCUUGUGGACGGACCCACUCACCACGUCCACGGCAACAAAGCAGACGCUGAGAAAGCACGAUGUCAGGGUGCUGCCCUGGUUUGUAGCUUUCAUUCAACCCCCUCACCACUGCCUCAGAAGAACAGAGCUUUGGGUAUUGCUUCAUUAAGAACACAGCGUAGGAGCCAUUGAAUUCUUUAGGGUCAGUUUAAUAGAACUCAUCAUACCAGAAAGAAUAACAGCUUAAGGCCAUUUAUCAUGUAUGCUACCCAGUAAACAAAACCUAUCCACAGCUCCUGGCACCAGAGUGGACUGGGAAUGGGAUAUUUCCAGACUCUGCAGGGAAGACGAGAAUGACCAUUUUAACGAGGGAAGCAAACUAGUCCCCCUUUUUUCCUUCCCUAGAAAAGACUCCAUAGCAAAAAGCUGCUUGGAAAACAGAAGUCACUGGAAAUGACAAAGGAACAGCAGCAUUUUGUAUACAAGUAAAGCCAGGGGAUCACUGGCAAGCCCUAGUGUUUCUCCUGUGUGAGGCGGAAGCCAGCCCUCUAAGUCAGUUCUCUGGCUAGACACACAGCAACUGGCUCGGAGCCCGACGCACAUUUCAUGUGAGCAAAGCGGAGGAGAGGAAGGGACACGCUUUUCUCCACAUGGAAGGUACUUUGGUACCUGGCUGAAUGGACUGAGAUGCCUGCUGCGUACUGAGCUUCUGUGUUAAGCAGGUAGCAGCACACCUACAGGUUCUGGGGCCAGGAAAAUAAACGGAUUAGCACUCCCACCCUGAAAAAACAAACAAAUCUAUAGAUAGAUUCUUAGCUAGGCAGCCAAGAAGAGUCCUAGAUUUUCAUACUACUUUUACCACAUUCCACAACCCCUUUGGGCUAAGUUGACUCCAUACCCGUGUGAAAUGCUCACCAAUUUCUGAUCUCUGUUGAGUACAGGCACUGAGAAAAGAAAAAAACACUGCUGUCCCUCUUGUUCUAACCACACAGUUGAAGCAAACAGAAUAAAAUCCAUUGUGGCUUAUCUAGAACAUCAGGAGAGAAAAGGGACCCUAAAGUCAGGUCUUAACAAUUUCCUAUACAAGAGAACAAUUGCAUUUAGCCAUUUUUAGGUGGGUUUGGCACAAGACUGCAACUCUUUACAAAAUAAGAAUUAGCCAGGGUCUCUCUCUGCUGCCAUGCUGUGACCAGCAAUUCUACACUGUUCCAAUCCAGUAUUUGGGGGGACCAGAAAUCCUCCCUGAUUUAGAAAAGAGAGAACAGGGAGGUCGUGGUAGAUCAUCAUUUCCCCUUUCCCCUGUGAAGUCAGAAAUCUCUCCAAGUAAGCUACUCUGCCUGGUUUUCACUAAUAGGUGGGAAGCAAAGGGUAUCACACACUGACAGUUCAGCUGGACCACAUCAGCUGUGAGAAACUUAGAUACAGGACCCCUUAAUUAAGGAGGGAUGGAAUAGUCCCCUGCCUCCUCUUGAAACAUAAGGCUGAGUGUACAAGGAGGACCAGGGUGUCUGAGCUAUUGAGCCCAAGCCCAGCACCACCAUAUAUAUCAGUUUCUCUGGAGCUAGAAUUGUUU